rnacentral:lncRNA from 1 species
GACGAAACUUAUACUGAGAGAGGCAUGCCUGAUAAUCAGAUCGUGGUAUUGGCAUGUAAAAACCCAGAUUUGUUUUAUUUGUUCUUGUUUCGAGACAAACCAAGUGCCCUUGAAAUGCUGCAUGCAAUGCAUUGACCUCGGGCAACCCAUUGCAUUACUGCAAAUAUUACUCAAUAUUUGAAAAGUCUAGUAGAUGAUCCAUCUCAAACUGAAUUACUUGCAUGUUCACUAUUUGUUUCUCAUAUUUAAGUCUUCUCGUACCCCUGCUGAAAACGCUGCGUUGCCCUGAAAGCGUGAAAAUACCACACCUUUGCGCAGUUCGCGUAGCCAGGUUUCAGGCAAGUUGAAUUGUAGCUAAAUGGUGUAAAUGGUGUAGUAGAACCACCACUAAGCAUGUGUUGGAAGUCCAGUGCUUAAGUUAGAAUAAACCACCCGGUUAUCUUUUUCCACAGCUACAAGUAAACAAAAGCUGAAGCGGCCUUCAAGUGUCAAGUGUGGAAAAAGAUGUUUUGCGGCAAUGGCUGUGACUGAAGACAACACAGGUGUGUAUGUGGUUUUCUAAUUCAAGCACAGAGGCCGCGACUUUGAACUGGGUCGUGUUUUUCUGUCCAAGUCGGAAAGAGCUGCUAUUGCUGACAAGCUGCGAGAAGGAGUGUCCAUGGAUGCAGUACUGGAUAAUGUGCGGUCCAACGUGGAUGAGACAUUCCACCGCAUUAACCUGUUAAGCAAGCAGGAUCUCCGCAACAUAAUGAGGGAUGCCAGAGUCUCAAAGACCGAGCGGCUGCAUGAUAAUGACUAUGUGAGCGUGCAACUCUGGGUUGAGAGGAUGCAUAGUGAAAAGGAGAACCCAUUGCUCUUCUUUAAACACCAAGGACAACCUGACAAAAA